rnacentral:rRNA from 1 species
UACGGAGGAUGCGAGCGUUAUCCGGAUUUAUUGGGUUUAAAGGGUGCGCAGGCGGAAUGUCAAGUCAGCGGUAAAAUUUCGGGGCUCAACCCCAUCCAGCCGUUGAAACUGGGGAUCUAGAGUGUGCGAGAGGUAUGCGGAAUGCGUGGUGUAGCGGUGAAAUGCAUAGAUAUCACGCAGAACGCCGAUUGCGAAGGCAGCUUACCGGCGCUCAACUGACGCUGAGGCACGAAAGUGCGGGUAUCGAACAGG